rnacentral:rRNA from 1 species
GACGAACGCUGGCGGCGUGCUUAACACAUGCAAGUCGAACGGUGAAGGGACCGGUUUUUGCUGGUUCUGGAUGAGUGGCGAACGGGUGAGUAACACGUGAGUAACCUGCCCCCUUCUUCUGGAUAACCGCAUGAAAGUGUGGCUAAUACGGGAUAUUCUGCGCCUGCUGCAUGGUGGGUGUGGGAAAGAUAUUGUUUCGGUGGGGGAUGGGCUCGCGGCCUAUCAGCUUGUUGGUGGGGUGAUGGCCUACCAAGGCGGUGACGGGUAGCCGGCCUGAGAGGGUGGACGGUCACACUGGGGCUGCGCCACGGCCCAGACUCCUACGGGAGGCAGCAGUGGGGAAUAUUGCACAAUGGGCGCAAGCCUGAUGCAGCGACGCCGCGUGAGGGAUGGAGGCCUUCGGGUUGUAAACCUCUUUCGCCAGUGAAGCAGGCCUGUCCCUUUUGUGGGUGGGUUGACGGUAGCUGGAUAAGAAGCGCCGGCUAACUACGUG